UUAAUCCAUUUAAUACCAAUUUGCCUACUAAUUCCCUUGGAUGUCUUGCAAACAACUUGCACAUGCAAGUGCUACCAGUCAAAAACUCUGCAUACUGGAAGCCAGCAAGUGUAUGGGGUCAUCAGGAGAGAACGCACGCCGUUUCAGGGCUUACCUCUCGAUGGCAUCAGUGUGCACCAGCCCCCCUCACUGAUAUGAGGCCCUGCUUGCUAGAUCAGCUGGUUAUCAAAUAAAGCUCAAUAUUCUUCCAGCCAUCGCUCAUUGUCUCUUUUUAACCAAAUCCAG